CUCCUAUAGUACAGCCAUGGAUCUGGGAAAUUAAAAACAUCACAAAUAACAAAGAAAAAAAGAUUGCAUUUUCAAGUAUACAAAGUACUAAUACAGAAUUUCCUUCUGUUUAGCUGUCUGCAGUGAGAAAAGCGCAGUCUGGGAAAGAGCCUGUGCCAGUCAGGAAAAUUGUCCUGAAGCAGGUAACUGCAGCUGUGAAAAUUUUUGGUACACUUCUGUUCUAGAAAGAAAAAGUCAUAUAAGUCACUAAAAGAACCUGAAAAUGAGAAAAGUAAUAGUGAAUAAAAAAUCAAUAAAAAUGUCUGUGUAUAUACGGUAUCUCACAAGAGUGAGUAGACCCCUCACUUUUCUGCAAAUAUUUAAUUAGAUCUUUUAAUGGGAUAUAACUACAGAAAUGACACUUUGAUACCAUGUAUAGUUGUCAGUGUACAGCUUGUGUAACUGUAAAAUUACUGUGCCCUCAAAAUAACUCAACAAAGAGCCAUUAAUGUGUACACCCCUGGCAACAAAAGUCUGAGCACUGACAGGCUAACCCCCCACCCCUUCAACUCCUGCAGCAAUGCUAGCAGCACUCAAACAUCUAUUUUCCGAAGACAACUUCUGGAUAUGACGCUGAGCACAUGCACUCAACCUCUUAGGUCGACCAUGGUGAGGUUCUGGGUGGUUCCUGUCCCAUUUAACAGCUGUGUGGUCUUGGCCACUGUGCUGCAGCUCAGUUUCAGGGUGUUGGCAAUCUUCUUAUAGCCUAGGCCAACUUCAUGUAGAGCCACAAAUUCUGUUUUUAGAUCCUCAGAGAGUUCUUUGCCAUGAGGUGCCAUGAUAAACUUCCAGUGACCAGUAAGAGAGGGUGUAGGACAGAUGACACCAAAUUUAACACAGCUGCACCCCAUUCACACCUGAGAGCUCGUAAUACUAAUAAGUGACAUGACAUAGGGGAGGGAAAAUGGCUAAUUGGGCCCAAUUUGGAUAUUUUCACUGAGUGGUGUACUGACUUUUGUUGCCAGGGGUGUACACAUUAAUGGCUCUGUGUUGAGUUAUUUUGAGGGCACAGUAAUUCUACACUGUUACACAAGCUGUACUCUGACUAAUGUCUGUUGUGUCAAAGUGUCAUCUCUUUAGUUUUGUCCCAUGAAAAUAUAUAACAUUUGCAGAAAUGUGAGGGGUCUACUCGCUUUUGUGAGAUACUGCACACUGUUAACAUUUACAUAAUGUAUGAAUCAUGAUGAAAUAACUCUUGAAUUAAUGCAGAUGUGUCAUUUUGCCUUUUCUUACUUCACACUAAUGAGCCUGUCACUUUGAAGUCACGUGAUUAGUUCACACUCAACAGAUCAUUGAAUGAUGCUUAUUUACAGUCAAUUCAUACAUGCAUUGAUGUGACUACAUCAACUUGAUAUCAAAUUUCCCCUUGAGGAUUCAUAAAGUUUUUCUUAUCUUAUCGUUCUCAUAAAUUAAUGCUUAGUUUAGCAUCAUGCAUUUGCUCAGCCCUUCAGGUUUAAAUGAGACAAGAGCCUGUGGUAAUUUAAGUGUUACAUGUAUUGGGACAACAGGCAAUAAGAUGUUCCCUUAUGUUUUACAGGACACAACUACAAUUAAGGUCUCCCUGUGGAGGGAGGCAGCAGUGGAGCCCCUCAUCGUCGGGGAGACCAUAAAAGUGAC
rnacentral:lncRNA from 1 species